rnacentral:rRNA from 1 species
UACGUAGGAGGCGAGCGUUGUCCGGAUUUAUUGGGCGUAAAGAGCGCGCAGGCGGCACAUCAAGUACGCAGUGAAAUCUCCCUGCUCAACGGGGAGGGUGCAGCGUAAACUGGCGGGCUUGAGUGUGGCAGAGGGGGGUGGAAUUCCGCGUGUAGCAGUGAAAUGCGUAGAGAUGCGGAGGAACACCGAUGGCGAAGGCAGCCCCCUGGGCCAACACUGACGCUCAGGCACGAAAGCGUGGGGAGCAAACAGG